GGCACUUUGGCGGAGUGGUUAACGCGAUGCCCUGCUACCAACCACAGGCAUUUCCUUCGGGAGCGUGUGUUCGAAUCACACAGGUGUCG
rnacentral:tRNA from 2 species